GGGGGUUAGGACCUUCUGGGAAUUGAAGGGGUUCAAAGUUGGUAUUAUUUUUUUUUACGUGUCCACCGUACAUUCUUUCGGCAAGUCUCGCCAGCUCCGUACGGCAAAGUUCGACACCGGACAUUGCUCAAAUGAAAGGUAAUGAAUCAGAGCAGGACCCACUGAAAUGAUUUUUUGGGGGUUAGGACCUUCUGGGAAUUGAAGGGGUUCAAAGUUGGUAUUAUUUUUUUUUUUACGUGUCCACCGUACAUUCUUUCGGCAAGUCUCGCCAGCUCCGUACGGCAAAGUUCGACACCGGACAUAGCUCAAAUGAAAGGUAAUGAAUCAGAGCAGGACCCACUGAAAUGAUUUUUUGGGGGUUAGGACCUUCUGGGAAUUGAAGGGGUUCAAAGUUGGUAUUAUUUUUUUUUUUACGUGUCCACCGUACAUUCUUUCGGCAAGUCUCGCCAGCUCCGAACGGCAAAGUUCGACACCGGACAUAGCUCAAAUGAAAGGUAAUGAAUCAGAGCAGGACCCACUGAAAUGAUUUUUUGGGGGUUAGGACCUUCUGGGAAUUGAAGGGGUUCAAAGUUGGUAUUAUUUUUUUUUUUACGUGUCCACCGUACAUUCUUUUGGCAAGUCUCGCCAGCUCCGUACGGCAAAGUUCGACACCGGACAUAGCUCAAAUGAAAGGUAAUGAAUCAGAGCAGGACCCACUGAAAUGAUUUUUUGGGGGUUAGGACCUUCUGGGAAUUGAAGGGGUUCAAAGUUGGUAUUAUUUUUUUUUUUACGUGUCCACCGUACAUUCUUUCGGCAAGUCUCGCCAGCUCCGUACGGCAAAGUUCGACACCGGACAUAGCUCAAAUGAAAGGUAAUGAAUCAGAGCAGGACCCACUGAAAUGAUUUUUUGGGGGUUAGGACCUUCUGGGAAUUGAAGGGGUUCAAAGUUGGUAUUAUUUUUUUUUUUACGUGACCACCGUACAUUCUUUCGGCAAGUCUCGCCAGCUCCGUACGGCAAAGUUCGACACUGGACAUAGCUCAAAUGAAAGGUAAUGAAUCAGAGCAGGACCAACUGAAAUGAUUUUUUGGGGGUUAGGACCUUCUGGGAAUUGAAGGGGUUCAAAGUUGGUAUUAUUUUUUUUUUACGUGACCACCGUACAUUCUUUCGGCAAGUCUCGCCAGCUCCGUACGGCAAAAAUCGACACUGGACAUAGCUCAAAUGAAAGGUAAUGAAUCAGAGCAGGACCCACUGAAAUGAUUUUUUGGGGGUUAGGACCUUCUGGGAAUUGAAGGGGUUCAAAGUUGGUAUUAUUUUUUUUUUUACGUGACCACCGUACAUUCUUUCGGCAAGUCUCGCCAGCUCCGUACGGCAAAGUUCGACACCGGACAUAGCUCAAAUGAAAGGUAAUGAAUCAGAGCAGGACCAACUGAAAUGAUUUUUUGGGGGUUAGGACCUUCUGGGAAUUGAAGGGGUUCAAAGUUGGUAUUAUUUUUUUUUUACGUGACCACCGUACAUUCUUUCGGCAAGUCUCGCCAGCUCCGUACGGCAAAGUUCGACACUGGACAUAGCUCAAAUGAAAGGUAAUGAAUCAGAGCAGGACCCACUGAAAUGAUUUUUUGGGGGUUAGGACCUUCUGGGAAUUGAAGGG